rnacentral:rRNA from 1 species
AACGAACGCUGGCGGCAGGCCUAACACAUGCAAGUCGAGCGAGGACUUCGGUUCUAGCGGCGGACGGGUGAGUAACGCGUGGGAAUGUGCCCUUCUCUACGGAAUAGCCCUGGGAAACUGGGAGUAAUACCGUAUACGCCCUAUUGGGGAAAGAUUUAUCGGAGCAGGAUCAGCCCGCGUUGGAUUAGGUAGUUGGUGGGGUAAUGGCCUACCAAGCCGACGAUCCAUAGCUGGUUUGAGAGGAUGAUCAGCCACACUGGGACUGAGACACGGCCCAGACUCCUACGGGAGGCAGCAGUGGGGAAUCUUAGACAAUGGGGGCAACCCUGAUCUAGCCAUGCCGCGUGAGUGAUGAAGGCCUUAGGGUUGUAAAGCUCUUUCAGCUGGGAAGAUAAUGACGGUACCAGCAGAAGAAGCCCCGGCUAACUCCGUG